GAUGAACGCUGGCGGCGUGCUUAACACAUGCAAGUCGAACGAAGCACCUUGAUUUGAUUCUUCGGUUGAAGAUCUUGGUGACUGAGUGGCGGACGGGUGAGUAACGCGUGGGUAACCUGCCUCAUCCAGGGGGAUAACAGUUAGAAAUGCCUGCUACUACCGCAUAUGACCACAACCCCGCAUGGUGCAGGGGUAAAAACUCCGGUGAUAUGAGAUGGACCCGCGUCUGAUUAGGUAGUUGUUGGGGUAACGGCAUAUCAGGCCGACGAUGAGUAGCCGACCAGAGAGGGAGACCGGACACAUUGGGAGUGGGACACAGCCCAAACUCCUACGGGAGGGAGCAGUGGGGGAUAUAGCAAAAUGGGGGAAGCGAUGAUGCAGCGAGGCCGCGUGAGAGAUGAAGUAAGUGGGUAUGGAAAGAGCUAGCAACAGGGAAGAAAAUGACGGUAACUGACUAAGAAGCACCGGCUAAAUACGUG
rnacentral:rRNA from 1 species